rnacentral:lncRNA from 1 species
GUGGGGCUCUGGCUGGCACGCAUAUCUUUAAUUGUUGUAUUGUGAUAGGAAAGAUGAUGGGAGCCUGGUUGCCUAGCAACCAUUUUACAUAGACCACCCUAAAGAAAGAUAUUAAAGCUUGACAGUAAAUACAAAAAGGACAUUUUAUACCCUAGGAAUCUUUAAAACAUCAAAGAGUUCCAUAGCUUACCAUCAUAAAUUAAAAGUGCAAUGAGCCCUUGGACCCUUUGGACCCCAAACCUUUCCUGAACAGUGAAGGGAGCAAUUAUAGCUAGUAGCUACCUGGCCUGCAACCUCAAGGGAGGAGAUGGGAGGGGUGACCACGGUGAAGAGUAAUACCAGGAUGAAAAGCAUAUCAUUGACACUCACCGCAUCAGCAAAGGGCAAGGAAGCCAGGAGACAAAAGGACUCUUUGGAAGAAGAUAAUUCUGUUACUUCAUUUUGCAGCUGUGUGAGGGAGACCUCUAAUUUUGCAACUGAAGUGUUCUGCCUGCAGUCAACUGUGUUCCCAAUUGGUGGGUGCCAUCAGUGGCAGAUGCAAGUGAAAGAGGAACCUGGGUUCAACAUUGAAUUGUGUUAUUUAGAUUGA